AGAGUUUGAUCCUGGCUCAGAACGAACGCUGGCGGCAUGCCUAACACAUGCAAGUCGAACGAGAUCUUCGGAUCUAGUGGCGCACGGGUGCGUAACGCGUGGGAAUCUGCCCUUGGGUUCGGAAUAACAGUUGGAAACGACUGCUAAUACCGGAUGAUGACGUAAGUCCAAAGAUUUAUCGCCCAAGGAUGAGCCCGCGUANGAUUAGCUGGUUGGUGAGGUAAAGGCUCACCAAGGCUACGAUCCUUAGCUGGUCUGAGAGGAUGAUCAGCCACACUGGGACUGAGACACGGCCCAGACUCCUACGGGAGGCAGCAGUGGGGAAUAUUGGACAAUGGGCGAAAGCCUGAUCCAGCAAUGCCGCGUGAGUGAUGAAGGCCUUAGGGUUGUAAAGCUCUUUUACCCGGGAAGAUAAUGACUGUACCGGGAGAAUAAGCCCCGGCUAACUCCGUGCCAGCAGCCGCGGUAAUACGGAGGGGGCUAGCGUUGUACGGAAUUACUGGGCGUAAAGCGCACGUAGGCGGCUUUGUAAGUUAGACGUGAAAGCCCGGGGCUCAACUCCGGAAUCGCCUUUAAGACUGCAUCGCUUGAACGUCUGAGAGGUGAGUGGACUACGAGUGUACAUGUGACAUUCGUAGAUAUUCGGAUGAACACCAUGUGGCGAAGGCGACUCAUCGGACGACUGUUGACGCUGAUGNGCGAGAGCGUGGGGAGCAAACAUG
rnacentral:rRNA from 1 species